CCCGGGCCUUGUACACACCGCCCGUCACACCACGAAAGUCGGUAACACCCGAAGCCAGUGGCCCAACCGUAAGGAGGGAGCUGUCGAAGGUGGGAUCGGUGAUUGGGUGG
rnacentral:rRNA from 1 species